GGGAGUUUCUGUCGUGGCUCAGCAGUAAAGAACCUAACUAGUAUCCAUGAGGAUGCAGUUUGACCCCUGGCCUCAAUCAGUGGGUUAAGGAUCCUGCGUUGCUGUGAGCUAUAGUGUAGGUCCCAGAUGUGGCUUGAAUCUUGCAUUGCUGUGACUGUGGUGUAGGCAGGCAGCUGUAGCUCCCAUUAGACUCCAAGCCUGGGAACUUCCAUAUGCCAUGGAGUUUUAAAUUCUGCCAUAGAGAAACUUAUGCAAAGAUAUAACUGUGUGGUGACAUUUAGGUUGGACUUUUUUGAAUGGGUGGGAGUUGUGUUGUUGGAAUUACGGCUUAGGACCUUUCCGAGGAUAUAGAGGUAAGGGAAUGUUUAGAGAAUUGAAAUUAAGCUAAGAUGCCUGGAUCCCAGUAUACAGGUGGAGGAAGACUGAAAAUUAAGAUGAUGUAAUAUUAUCUUACAUGAUCUUAAUAUUAGAUUUUCAAUAUAUUUUAUGCACUAUCAAAGACACACAAACUGGCCAAAUAUUACUAGGCUUGGCACAGCUUAUUCAAGAUACUUUCCAUAGGAUUUGGUUUGGGGAGUAACAUUCUACCUCACCUGCCACAACAUCUACCUCAAGCUGCCUAAUAUUUGAAAGCUGAGAUUCUUUCAGCAAGAGAGAAGAGAAAAAUUAGAAACUGGGUGAAUAACAAAAAAUCCCUUACAGUAUAUUUACUAUUAGAGGAAGGUAGGAAUUUAAUCAAAUGCUAAUUUACUGUUUAUGCCUCACUGAAUAUAUUGAUCAAAUGUUAUUGUCAUGAAUUGCUCUCCCUUAGAACAUGAAACCUGUCCAAAAGGGAGUUUAGAAGAGUGAUAAAGAUAAUAAUAUUAAUAAUGAUGAUAAUAAUAAUCAUAGAAAAGAAGUGAGGCUUUCAUUUGGAACCAACCAGCCUUUUUGUAUUUACAAUGAACCAAAGCCAAGCAUAUGCCAACAGCAUCUCUGACUGCCUAACUGUCUCUGAGGAGAGUUAGGAAAUCAGCCUGACAGUCAGGCAUGUUCACCACUAGAGCAGCCAAGGUGAAGGGAUUAAAAUGCUGUCUUGCCAGCUUCAGGGACUCAUUGAGUCUGUUCCAGAAUAUAACAUGCCACUGAUUACAGAGGAUUCUAGUGUUAAAUUGACGGAAGAAAUUGCUAAUCAAAAUGCAAGUGGGAGAUGUAAAUGCAAAAAGAUAUGAUCUCACCAAUUAAUGCACACAGAAUCAUUUUCUCCUUCAGAUUCCUUGUUUCAUUAUUAAACCUAAAGCUUUACAUGUUAGCUUCAAAAGAACCACAUCAGUCAGAAAAGGUUGAAAGACAGUGUGUUAUGCUGUGAUGAGCACUGGAUUAGAAAUCAGAAGACCUUGAUUGUGGUCUCAGCUAUAUUAUAUAGUAUCUGUGGAGUCCCAGCUCUUUCCCUUUAAUGCAUUGUUACAUGGUGCCCUAACAUAUAAGAGUGGUAAUCACACUUGUCUUGCUUAUGUCACAUACUUCAGGGUGACUUUCCGUUCUUCAUUCCUUCCUUCUUUCCUUCCCCCACCUCAUUAUUUAAUAUAUUCAUGGAAUUAUCUUUAUUCAUUUAGGUCAAAUCUAUCAGAUAUUUAGGCAUAUAGAGAUGGUAAUGUUAGAUAAGAUCUCUGUUUUCAAGAAGUUUAUAUUCCAAGGGAAAGAGAAAGUAAACAAUUAAAGAAAGUUGUAGACAAGGCAGUUAUGUUGAGUGAUAUGACAGAAGUAAGCAGAAUGAUGUGAUGGAGAGAAAAUCGGCAUAAGAGAUAACAGCACCUUCAAUACAGCAGUCAGGGAAAGCCUCUCUGCGGAGAUCAAAUUUGACUUAGUUAAUAUGAAUCAGGAUGAGUCAGCAGUUUUAAGACAGGGAAGAAUGUUGCAGGCAGCAUAGAAUAAAUGCAAAGAUAGCAAGACUGGGAAAAUGCUAGUUACACCUAAAGAAAAGGAAGAAAUCACUGUGUCUAUAACUUUAUGAAUGGAAGAGGGGAGUGACCCAACAUGAUUUUAGAGAGCUAGCCAGAGAAUAGGUUAUUUUGGCCUUGUCAGAUUUGUUAAGCAGUUUGGAUUUGGUUUCAGAGAACUAAGAACUUUUGAAAUAACUUUAAUGGGUGAGUGACAUGAACCCAUUUGCCUUUAAGAAGUCCCUUCUUGUUUUGGUGAAGGUUGACUUUAUAAAAGACCUCCAAAAUGUGUUAAAGCAAAACUAAGUUUAGUAGACUUAGUGCAGUAAAAGAGCACAUCACCCUGACAUCACUACUAUUUCAAAAUGGGAAAUUAGGGAAGGCUUUUUAUGUCAUCAUAAGGCCUGUCCUGAGAGAUUCUUACACGGCGUAUUUCAAGAGAGAGAGAGAACUGGUGGGACUUGGUGGCCUCAUAGAUUUAGAUAGGUGGACACAAUGAACUGAGAGUCAUGAAAUGAAUCUGGGUAAGUUUUUAGUCUUGAUAAUUGAUGAGUUUAAGUGGAUCGUUUUUUUCUUUGAGGAGCAGGUAUUUCCUGGGGAAUGCAGCAUCUAAAUUAUGAUUGCUUAAUUUAUUAUGAACAUAAGAAUAGUUGAGUCUAUCCAGUUCUAUUAUUAUUUGAUGCAGAAACAGGGAACAUGUUGUUUUCAUUUCUCACCAGUCCAUGAAAAUAUGGUAUUGCAGGUGGGGGUCAGCAGGAGUAGAAGUGAGAAUGCCAUCCAUAUAUGAAUCUGCUGUUAUCUUCCAGGCCAUGGAUGGCGCAGACUUGGUAGAUGAGCACUAUGCUCUCCAACACAACAGUUACAUGUGCUUACUGAGCACCUGAAAUUUGGCUAGUGUGAUUUGAGGUGUGCUAUGUAGGUGUAAAACCCACAACACACUUUGAAAACUC
rnacentral:lncRNA from 1 species